GAUGAACGCUAGCGGCAGGCCUAACACAUGCAAGUCGAGGGGUAGAAGCUUUCGGGCUUUGAGACCGGCGCACGGGUGCGUAACGCGCAUGCAAUCUGCCUUGUACUGAGGGAUAGCCCAGAGAAAUUUGGAUUAACACCUCAUAGUAUUUUUGCCUGGCAUCAGGUGAUUAUUAAAGGUUACGGUACAAGAUGAGCAUGCGUCCCAUUAGCUAGUUGGUAUGGUAACGGCAUACCAAGGCUACGAUGGGUAGGGGUCCUGAGAGGGAGAUCCCCCACACUGGUACUGAGACACGGACCAGACUCCUACGGGAGGCAGCAGUGAGGAAUAUUGGUCAAUGGGCGCAAGCCUGAACCAGCCAUGCCGCGUGCAGGAUGAAGCAUCUAUGGUGUGUAAACUGCUUUUGUACGGGAAGAAACACUGCUACGUGUAGCAGCUUGACGGUACCGUAAGAAUAAGGAUCGGCUAACUCCGUGCCAGCAGCCGCGGUAAAAC
rnacentral:rRNA from 1 species